rnacentral:lncRNA from 1 species
CGCUAACACACAUCACACACUAACACACAUCACACACUAACACACAUCACACGUGCUAAAACACAUCACACAAGCACACAUCACACACUAACACACAUCACACGUGCUAAAACACAUCACACAAGCACACAUCACACACACUAACAUCACACACACGAAAACACAUCACACAAGCACACAUCACACACGCUAACACCACAG